rnacentral:rRNA from 2 species
ACUUUCAACAACGGAUCUCUUGGUUCUCGCAUCGAUGAAGAACGCAGCGAAAUGCGAUAAGUAGUGUGAAUUGCAGAAUUCCGUGAAUCAUCGAAUCUUUGAACGCACAUUGCGCCUCCUGGUAGUCCGUGAGGCAUGCCUGUUCGAGCGUCA